CUCUUUUCCUUCCGCCCUCCAUUGCUUUCUCCCCUGCAAUGGCAUCCGGGCUGGUGAGGCUGCUGCAGUGGGGACCUCGCCGCCUCCUGGCACCGGCCGCCCCGAUUCUCGCCCCGCCAGUUCGGGGAGCAAAGAAGGGGUUCCGCGCCGCCUACCGCUUCCAGAAGGAGUUGGAGCGGUGGCGCCUCCUCAGGUGCCCUCCGCCGCCCGUGCGCCGUUCAGAGAAGCCCAACUGGGAUUACCAUGCUGAAAUACAAGCCUUUGGCCAUCGGUUACAGGAAACCUUUUCCCUAGAUCUUCUCAAAACUGCAUUUGUUAAUAGCUGCUAUAUUAAAAGUGAGGAGGCCAAACGCCAUAAACUUGGAAUAGACAAAGAAGCUGCUCUUCUGAACCUUAAAGAUAAUCAAGAACUAUCUGAACAAGGGAUAUCUUUUUCACAAACUUGCCUCACACAAUUUUUUGAGGACGCCUUCCCAGACUUGCCCGCUGAAGGCGUUACAAGUCUAGUUGACUUUCUCACCAGUGAGGAAGUUGUGUGUCAUGUGGCUAGAAACCUGGCUGUGGAGCAGUUAGCGCUGAGUGCAGAGUUUCCCGUUCCCCCGCCUGUGUUACGGCAGACUUUCUUUGCAGUGAUUGGAGCCCUCUUACAGAGCAGUGGACCAGAGAGGACUGCACUUUUCAUCAGGGACUUCUUAAUUACUCAAAUGACUGGAAAAGAACUCUUUGAGAUGUGGACGAUAACAAAUCCUAUGGGGUUACUGGUAGAAGAACUGAAGAAAAGGAAGAUUUCAGCUCCCGAAUCUAGACUUACUAGGCAGUCUGGAAGCACCACAGCUCUCCCUGUAUAUUUUGUUGGCUUAUACUGUGAUAGAAAGUUGAUUGCGGAAGGUCCUGGGGAGACAGUGCUGGUUGCGGAAGAAGAAGCUGCCCGAGUGGCCCUUAGGAAACUCUUUGGGUUCACCGAGAAUCGCCGGCCCUGGGACUAUUCCAAGCCCAAAGAGCAUGUCAGAGCAGAAAAGACCAUCACUGCCAGCUAGCCAGCCAAAGAGAUGGCAGCCUGAAAUUGUGAGCAAAACGGUGCCUGUCUUCACUUCCUUUUCAGGAUAAAGACUCAAAGGCCAACAAGACAUAGAGCUUUCAACUUAUUUGGGUCAGCGCCUCCCCUUUUUCCACUGUAUCUCAGGCAGCACUGAAAGUCCCUCUCUCAUCAAGUAUCAAAAGAAUAUCUACAGAGCAAGUGAAGAGUCAGACACCCACUUCCAGCGUGUGGGUUUUUUCCCCCACACCAGCUGGGUGUCCUGCAGUUCAACUCAACUGGGACAUCAUUUACCUGGAGACAGCAUCAGAUUCCAAGGGGAAGGGCUCAGGCCCACAAGACUGCUCCCCGCUUCGGAUGCCACCUGCAAGCCCAGGUUACCCCCCGGGCUUCUUACUGACCUACUGGCUGUAAAUCAGAGGUUCCCACAAUCCCCUCCGCAGGUUUGAUGACUUUGCUAAAGUGGUUCACGGGAUGCAGAAAAACA